UGCGUAGGCGGAUUAAUAAGUCAGUGGUGAAAUCUUUCGGCUCAACCGAGAAACUGCCAUUGAUACUGUUAAUCUUGAGUUCGGUUGAGGUAGGCGAAAUGUGUAAUGUAGCGGUGAAAUGCUUAGAUAUUACACAGAACACCAAUUGCGUAGGCAGCUUACUAGACCGACACUGACGCUGAGGCACGAAAGCGUGGGGAGCGAACAGGAUUAGAUACCCUGGUAGUCC
rnacentral:rRNA from 1 species